UGUUGUUGUGUUUUCUUCAUCUGAUCUUGGAAGCUAAGCAGGGUCGGGCCUGGUUAGUACUUGGAUGUGAGACUGCUGGGAAUACCUGGUGCCACAGUGG
rnacentral:rRNA from 1 species